rnacentral:misc_RNA from 1 species
UUUCCGUAGGUGAACCUGCGGAAGGAUCAUUAAUGAGUUGUCAUGGGGUUCGAUGCUGGCAGCCAGUUUUUGGAUGCAUGUGCUUGCCCUAACAAUCAUCUUCUUCCAAACACCUGUGCACAUUUUUGAGGGAGUCUUGAGUUGGUUGCCGCUCUUGGGUGAUUUUCUCACAUUCCCUUAAAUCAUUAUACGCUAUUAACAAUGUUGAACGUGCUCUGUGCCGCAAGGCCAUUAAUAUAAUACAACUUUUAACAACGGAUCUCUUGGCUCUCGCAUCGAUGAAGAACGCGC